CUAGAAAAGUAGAUUAUUAUGAAAAUGGUUUAUUUACAUGAAGCAGGGUUUUACAUAUGAGCUGUUUUAUAUCUUUUUAUAGAGACCUACAUUGUUUGGGGGUAUAGCUUUCCUUUAAAUGGGGAAAAUCAUUAAAAUUCUAGACUAGCAUAUUCAGAACCAACCGCUGCCUCCUCAAAAUUUGGAGUACCUGUGGGACAAAAUGUGUUUUCUGCUAGUAACCCCUUUGGAAGCGGUACCCAAUCUACAAUGGGCACCAGUACACAAUCUGCAACAAACACCACCUUCAGUUUUGGCACUUCAACAUCUACUUAGCCUGCAUUUGUUUUUUCACAGAACCCUACCAUGCUUUUCAGCAGCAGCACAAAAAGCAGUAACUCUACAAACACAAGUGGUUUCAAUUCUAUGGGAUCUGUAUUUGGGUACUCAACUGUCCCUCCUUCUCUUAUUGUUACUCCAAACAAGAGCUUGUCAAUAACCUUGGGAAAUCCAGAAAAAAUGUGAAACUAAAAAUCUGUUAGGUCCUGCUGCUGGCUUUUUUUCCCCAUGGAACUGCACCUAAAACUAGAACAGCAGUUCGACAAACUGUAUCCUCGUCAUCCGCAUCCAUUUAAGUAAUCUGGCUUCCCUGGGGGGGGGGGGGGGGGGGGGGGGGGGGGGGGGGGGGGUGUGUGUGGGUGUGUGUGUGUGAAGGCGUUUCAUUAAAUAAUAUCCCACCAUACCUGAA